rnacentral:lncRNA from 1 species
CUCAGGUCUCAAUAGAAUGAUAAACAUAUACAAUAUAUUCUCUGACCACAAUUAACUGAAGCGCCUCAAUAAUGGGAGGAAAACUAGAAAAUUCACACACUCUUAAAAAUCACCGGGGCAAGACUGUGUCACAGGAAACUUAGAAAAUGCUUUGGGAUGAAAACAAUUCUUCUGAGUUGAAGACAUUUAUGGUAGAAAAUACCAAAAAUAGUUCCCUAUCCACAUUAGAGGUAAAAUAUUACAAUACUGUGUCUCUCCCAACUUAAAACAGCUUUCUUCUUCUGAAACAAAUCCACGUUGAAGAAAUAUCCUGCAAGAAGUCCUUGUGUGUGUGCUUUUACAGGGCUGCUAAAGGUUACUUUGUUUUGGAUUCCACCUAACUUUUUUUGUUCCCCCAAAAGCUAUUGUUCAAAAGUCCUAAACCCUCAUUCCUGCAAAUGUGAUCAUAUUUGGAAUUAGGAUCUUUAAUCCAGUAAGAUGAAUUUGUACUGAAUGGGAUGAUGGUCCUGAUUCAAUGUCUGGUGUCCUUAUAAGAGGAGCUGGGUGUGUGCACAGGGAAAGGCUGUGUGAAGACAGAGGCCAAGAUGACACCAUGGCAAGCCAAGGAGUUCCAAAGCUUUCAGAGACUGCCAGAGGCUAGGAAGAGGCAAGGAAAAGCA